GGAAUCUUGCGCAAUGGUCGAAAGACUGACGCAGCGACGCCGCGUGCGGGAGGAAGCUCUUCGGGGUGUAAACCGCUGUUGCCCGGGACGAAACGACCUUUCGAGGUCAUUGACGGUACCGGGUGAGGAAGCGCCGGCUAACUCUGUGCCCGCAGCCGCGGUAAUACAGAGGGGGCAAGCGUUGUUCGGACUCACUGGGCGUAAAGCGCACGUAGGCGGUUGGGUGCGUCGCUGCUGAAAGCGCCAGGCUUAACCUGGCGAGGCGUGGCGAUACGACCCGACUCGAGGCAGGCAGAGGGUGGCGGAAUUCCGGGUGUAGUGGUGAAAUGCGUAGAGAUCCGGAGGAACGCCUGUGGCGCAAGCGGCCACCUGGGCCUGACCUGACGCUGAGGUGCGAAAGCGUGGGGAGCGAAC
rnacentral:rRNA from 1 species